AAUCUUGUGCCAGUGUCUUUGAACAACCGCUGUCCGUGUUUACCCACUGCUUCAGCUACAGCCGUGUCAUUCAUUAACUGAGCUGCAGGUUCCCAAGGCCACACGCCAAGGCCACACGCCAGGUCCCAACAUUCUCUUAGUCCCUCGCGCAUGGUGGCGUAACUCUCCAAUGGCAUGGUCUGAACUUGGACUGGGAGAACAAAAGAUGGGGACUCUGUUACCAGUGGCCAGAUGAUGUUGAAAGUAUGGGUUGUUAUACUGUUUGAUGAAGUGCAGUCCCUAUGCUCUUCUGUGCUAAGCAAGUGUCCUGGAGUUAAAGCUGUCCUGGGAUGUGGACCACGAAGGUGCCUGGCACAUUUCUUUAACAAUCGGAUGCCAGGACCUCAGAUUUACCAGUGGUCUCAGAGAGACAGAGGAUGGGUGGAACUUCCCUCAUGUGACCAGCCACCAUUAUUCAGGGCGUACCACAUGCUGGACCACAGGCCUACCCUGGCCCACACCAGGCAUCUCCCCAGGACUAUCCCAAGUACUAUUCUGGGAGACGGAGUAUAUUUUUUUUCAAAGUCUCGAUAAUGAACAUUUAAUCAAUGCUGUAAGCUCUUUUUAUAAAGUCCCUUACACAGAA